GUGGAGGUCUUGCUGUCCCUACUUGGCACUAUCAGCUGCAAACCAGGGAGGAGGCUGUUUAACCAAGUCCCUGGAAUGACAGGAUUCUGCCUUGGCAGAGGCCCCAUUUGGGCUGAACCUCCCUGCUUCCUGUCACAGGCCUUCCUACUGAUCCACUCUCAGCUCCUGGGAUGGCAGUUUCUCCAGGAAACACAAAAAUACCUUCUUCUUGAGAGCUGCAUUACACGCCCCCCCCCACCUUCCCCAGAGGAAUGGACGAGGCUUCCAAGACACCGGGUCCUGCUCUGUCCACCUGACUAAUUGACCGGACGGUAUUUUUCUUCACUAGAAUCUUUGCUGUUUGGAACGCUACCUGAGGCCACGUGGGACAGAUUCGAGACAGGCUUUCUAACGGCCACGCACUUUCCUUCGUUCCACUCUGCCUUGUUUUCUGUUGAGAGGACUUAAGGGAACCGAGGCACAAUGAUUCCUCAGGGGGGAAUGUGGGAGGAUAGGUAAACAGUGCAUGUGAGCUGCCAAGAGCUGCCCAGGACCAAGAAAGGAGCAUUCUCUCCAGCUCAGUCACGGGGCAAAUAUUUACCGAGCUGGGACUCUGCACAGCCCAGUACGCAGCUGGGAAUGACUUUCAAGGACCUAGAGUUAGGACUCCCGAGGCUUUCGGCUUUUCGUCUGGUUGAGCGGGCAUGGAUGAGAAACAGAUCUCAGAGGCAGGCGGCCCGAGUUGGUGCAACUCCCUCGGCAACACAUAAAUAGCUGUGGCCUUUGUGUAGCUUCUCUGAGAUUCGAUUUCCUCAUCUACAGUGAAGGAUAAUAAUGUUUAUCUUGGAGUGUUACUAGGAGAAUGAGAGAGUUAGUGCACGUGGCUUGAUACCAAGUCGCCCUCUCUCCACCAUCCUGACCUCACGGUCCCAGACCUUAUACGGAUAGGACAUUUGUCAUCCGUCCAGGACUCUCCUUUCUCCAGGUAGUCCUAUUUCCACAUCAUUGUUGUGAGGCCUAAGAGAGCAGGGGCUAUAGCCUGCCAACUUGACAGCUCCGUAUUUCCCUGCGGGGACCAGUGGCAUCUCCCUCGGACUCCUCCACCAUUCUGAAAUGGAAGAGAUACGUGGCUCCUUCACUCUUUCCGGAGCUCCUCUCCGUUGUGUUCUCUGCUGCAUUCCGGCUUGCAGCCAGGAAAAGCCCACAGUUCUCUCCUUGGUGUUUCUUAUGCCUCCACACUCCUGAACCAUAUGGAGGGAAGAAAUCAUGGCUAUGAUAACAUCAUGCUUCAGUAGCCCCAGCCGCCAUCCACAGUCUCUUAUGAGGAAGGGGACAGGCCAUCCGCUGGAGUUUCCAGUUACUCUGCAGUAUGUCCCCUCCCCCGGCAUUAAACCAAUGCAGUGUUCUGAAAUUGGUGGCAUUUCACAAGUACCAUGCAGGCAUUUACAGAACUGAGCUAGCCUGGUCCCUCGAACCCAGACACAGGCUACAUCCUAUUAGCUCCGGCUUACGAAUGUAGAAACUGGGGUUCAGGAGGUUAAGGGGCUCCUCCAGGUCACAUCCAGAAGGCACUUAGGCUGGUACUCAAGGAGCCCUGGCUGUCCUGAGCACAGGGCCCACCCCCUAGGCUUCAGCAGGCUUUCUAGCAGGUGGCAGGGAGGGAGGGAGCUCGUGGCUUUGCGUUCCCUCUUCCGUUCCUUCCUUCCAUUCUGUUUUCUGCCUUCACAUUGCCUCAGCCUAAUGAACCAAUCACACGAUGCGUUUCUCACUCUGCAGACAUCUACUUGAGACUGGUUGCCUGCAAAUCCAGAGUCGCAGCACUGCACUGACAGAUUAACAGCCUGGCUUGGGGGUGAGCUUAAAAUAGAAUCCUCGAUGAUCUAAAUCAAGGAUCCUUAAGCAAAAGUUCAAGACAGGAGGCUUCUGGGGAGACUGUGGAGCCCUGAAUUGUAGGUGAAUAGUCCUGGUCCUCAAUUCGAAGGCUUUUGAAUGAAGCCACUUCUUAGGUUUUGGAGCUUGCCUGAGCAGAGGCUGCAGCCUGUUUGUACCAGUAAUACCCGACGAAGAGAACUGGAUACUUUGAUUCUGAAUUUCUCUUUUAACCAUUUUGGGCACCAAGAUGGCUCAGAGGUAGAAGGUUUGCCAACAGGCCUGAUGCAGAGUUCGAUUCCUUUUUUUCUCUGUGGGUUGUUUCUCUAAGCGGAUGAAGAAUUAAGUUGCAAACUGAACUCCCAUUGAGCCAAUAUUUGCUUCCCUUCUCCUUUGGUGGAAGGCAGAAAUGAAUCUCAUUUUAGACAGUCUUCCCUUUAGUCCCUCUGUUAAUAAACCCACGGCCAUUCCUGAAAUUAUAUUAAAUCAUUUGAGUCCCCAUCGUUUCA